rnacentral:rRNA from 1 species
UACGUAGGGCGCAAGCGUUGUUCGGAAUUACUGGGCGUAAAGGGCUCGUAGGCGGCCAACUAAGUCAUACGUGAAAUCCCUCGGCUUAACCGGGGAACUGCGUCUGAUACUGGAUGGCUUGAGUUCGGGAGAGGGAUGCGGAAUUCCAGGUGUAGCGGUGAAAUGCGUAGAUAUCUGGAGGAACACCGGUGGCGAAGGCGGCAUCCUGGACCGAUACUGACGCUGAGGAGCGAAAGCCAGGGGAGCAAACGGG